CAUGCUAAAGUUGUAAUUUCUGUUGUUUUUAAUCUACGUUCUUCAAAUUAUGCAAUCUUUUAAUUUUUCUUUGAUGCAAUAUAUUUAAUUUUCCUUCAUGCAAUCGAUGUUCUAGUCUUCAAUAUUCCUAGCACUGUUUUCAUCCAUUUUAUGCCAGAGUUUUCUUUUUCAUUAAAUAUAUAAAUGAUCCUCGAAUUUAAGUACCUGUCUUUCAAUUAAUUUCAAUUAGAAAAUAUUCUC
rnacentral:lncRNA from 1 species